rnacentral:rRNA from 1 species
UACGGGGGGGGGCAAGCGUUGUUCGGAAUUACUGGGCGUAAAGGGCGCGUAGGCGGCCUGCUAAGUCGGACGUGAAAUCCCUCGGCUCAACCGGGGAACUGCGUCCGAUACUGGCGAGGCUUGAAUCCGGGAGAGGGAUGUGGAAUUCCAGGUGUAGCGGUGAAAUGCGUAGAUAUCGUGGAGGAACGAACCAGUCGCUGACGG